CUACGGGUUGCAGCAGUGAGGAAUAUUGCACAAUGGGGGGAACCCUGAUGCAGCAACGCCGCGUGGAGGAUGACGCAUUUCGGUGUGUAAACUCCUUUUAUAUGUCAAGAAAAUGACGGUAGCAUAUGAAUAAGCACCGGCUAACUCCGUGCCAGCAGCCGCGGUAAUACGGAGGGUGCAAGCGUUACUCGGAAUCACUGGGCGUAAAGGACGCGUAGGCGGGUUGGAAAGUCAGGUGUGAAAUCCUACAGCUUAACUGUAGAACUGAACUUGAAACUUCUAAUCUAGAGUAUGGGAGGGGGAGAUGGAAUUAGUGGUGUAGGGGUAAAAUCCGUAGAUAUCACUAGGAAUACCUAAAGCGAAGGCGAUCUCCUGGAACAUUACUGACGCUAAAGCGUGAAAGCGUGGGGAGCAAACAGGAUUAGAUACCCGGGUAGUC
rnacentral:rRNA from 1 species